AUUGAACGCUGGCGGCAUGCUUUACACAUGCAAGUCGAACGGUAGAGGGGCAACCCUUGAGAGUGGCGAACGGGUGAGUAAUGCAUCGGAACGUGCCCAGUAGUGGGGGAUAGCCCGGCGAAAGCCGGAUUAAUACCGCAUGAGACCUGAGGGUGAAAGCGGGGGAUCGCAAGACCUCGCGCUAUUGGAGCGGCCGAUGUCAGAUUAGCUAGUUGGUGGGGUAAAGGCCUACCAAGGCGACGAUCUGUAGCUGGUCUGAGAGGACGACCAGCCAAACUGGGACUGAGACACGGCCCAGACUCCUACGGGAGGCAGCAGUGGGGAAUUUUGGACAAUGGGCGCAAGCCUGAUCCAGCCAUGCCGCGUGCGGGAAGAAGGCCUUCGGGUUGUAAACCGCUUUUGUCAGGGAAGAAAUCUUCUGGGCUAAUACCCUGGGAGGAUGACGGUACCUGAAGAAUAAGCACCGGCUAACUACGUGCCAGCCGCCGCCGUAACAC
rnacentral:rRNA from 1 species